GACACGACUCUCGGCAACGGAUAUCUCGGCUCUCGCAUCGAUGAAGAACGUAGCGAAAUGCGAUACCUGGUGUGAAUUGCAGAAUCCCGCGAACCAUCGAGUCUUUGAACGCAAGUUGUGCCCGAGGCCACCCGGUCGAGGGCACACCUGCCUGGGCGUCACGC
rnacentral:rRNA from 1 species